UGCAAGUCUGUUAUUUCAAGUUGGAACCUGACGGGCAGAUCAGAGGGUUUCACGGUGAACGGCGAGCAAAAAACUUUGAAGUCUUUCUCCAGUUCACCAAAAAUCUGAAAUUGCUCAAACUGUCCCGUUAUUUUAUCUUUGAACUGCUUCAUAUCUGCCACACUUUGGAUCAUGCACACAUUUUUCAGACAGGGGAAGUGAGCUGCAUCACCACCAGCGAGCUGCGUCUCCCACAAUAACAGCUUCAACUUGAAAGAACGUAUGCUGUCAUAAUACUGCGUGACAACUUUGUUGCGUCCUUGCAGCUGUUUGUUCAGGUUAUUCAGGUGCUCUGUAACAUCCACCAUAAAUGCAAGGUCCUGCAUCCAUUCUGUGGAAUGAAAUUCUAACACUGGUUUGCCCUUUUCUUCCAUAAACUGUUCAAUUUCAUCUCGUAAAUCAAAGAAACGCCUCAGCACAGCACCUCGGCUCAACCAUCUUACCUCAGUGUGUUAUGGCAGGCCAUAGAUGUGGUCUUUCUCUCUGAGAAGGCUGUCAAACUGACGGUGAUUGAGGCUUCUGGAUGGGAUGAAAUUAACAGUUUGGAUGACCACCUUCAUGACGUUAUCCAUUUUCAGUGAAUUGCAACACAAAGCCUCCUGGUGCAAAAUACAGUGAAAAGUCCAAAAAUCACGUCCUCCAUUUGCAGAUUGCACUUUAUCUUUGAACUUUUUUACAACGCCUGCUUUCUUCCCGAUCAUUGAGGGCGCACCAUCUGUAGCCAGGCUGACAGCGCGGGACCAGUCCACUCCGACCCUGUCCAGCGCGCCGAUGAGAGCGGUGAAGAUAUCGGCUGCGGUCAUUGUAUCUGUCAUCGGUACCAACUCCACAAACUCCUCGGUGACGGUCAAUGUGUCAUCAACUCCACGGAUGAAAAUUGCCAGUUGUGCAACAUCUGUAAUGUCCGUGCCUUCAUCAAUGGACUACUUGCACUAGGGCGUGUGACGUAUUUCCGUUUCCAAAUACUACCGCUUGGACGUUUCCGGUAUGUUUGUUUAUCUAUCGGUAGCUAUGCUAAUGUCACUUCAGAAUGAGUAUAAAAAGGAAAAAUAUUUAAAACAGAACAUUUUCAAAAACAGGAGAAGAAAUACUCCGAGCAUUGCUGUGUCCCACUUUGUUCGGCUUCAGCCAAAUUUAACGGUAUACUAAGUUUUCAUGCCUUUCCGACCCAUUCCGACUUGAGAAGACAACGGCUGGUAAAUAUACCCUGGGAUCAUUUCACGAUUACCUCUCACACCAGGGUCUGCAGCAGACACUUUGCCAGUGAUCAACUCAUAGAGCCAACAACCCUUGAUGGUCGAAGGCGGCUUAUUAAAGGUGCUGUACCAACACUUUUUGAGUGGAAUGGCUAUAAAGUUGAACCACCGCGGCGUGGUGUUUGGGAGAGAACGGAGCGACGCCCUGAACUAUUUCCUCCUGACGAUCAAGAAGAGCACGGUCUUACAAUAGAUCAUGACUACUGCUCAGUCCCUGAGCCGUCUGCAUUGGACAUAUUUGCAUCAGCUGCAGAAGACCUGUCCAAAGACGUGGAGACUCUGAGGAAGGAAAUGCAGGAGUUACGUGUCCAGUGAGAAUUUGGGUUACAGCGCUUUGCUGGCUCCGACACUGACAUCCGAUUCUAUACCAGAUUUCCAAGCUAUGAUCAUUUGAUGGCAUUUUGGUUUUUGAUUGAGCCUUGCAUCUAUAAAAUGAUCCAGGUUUCAAGAGCCAAGUCAGCUGCCAAUAGGAACGAAGAAGUGUUGACACCUGCACGCACAUCAACGAGGCAGCUGCUACAGCCAAUUGACGAGUUCUUUCUUUUCCUGGUUUUCCUGUCAGUUGGUUUGAAGGAGAGGGACCUGGCACACAGAUUUAACAUACACCAGUCCACAGUGAGCCGCAUUAUUGCAACAUGGACGAAUUUUCUUGCCACUGCACUGGGGUCUCAAUGCAUUUGGCUUACAUGUGAAGAAGUGCAAGCUUACCUCCCUGAGGAAUUCAAAGAUUUCUCAGACACCCAGAUGAUCCUUGACUGUACAGAGCUGAGGUGUCAGACACCAUCCUCACCACUUCUCCAAAGUGAAAUGUACUCUUCGUACAAAUCCCACUGCACGAUGAAAGCCCUGGUUGGCAUAGCUCCACAUGGUCCAGUGACAUUCAUCUCUAAUCUGUAUGCUGAUUCGGUUAGUGACAAGGAACUAUUCAAACAAUCAGGCAUUGCUGAGAAGUUGACUGAAGACAUGGCAGUGAUGGUAGAUAAGGGCUUCCUAAUCACCGAUUGUUGUAAAUGCAAAGUGUACUGCCCACCUUUUCUAUCUAAGCAGAAGCAGAUGCCAGCAUACCAGGUUAAGGAGACGCAGGCCAUAGCCAGACUCAGGGUACAUGUGGAGCGAGUCAUUAGGAGGAUAAAA